UUCGCCGCUUUCUGCACUACUGUCAUAUGAUGAUAUAUUUCAUCGCCCGGAUAUGGAGGUAUCCAACUGGAAUGUCAUGAUGCAGCAAGGACAGCAGUCUAUACCUAUUUAUAACGGACCUCUUACGAAGACCAUGAUGUGUUAUGAGCCCAAAGGAGGCUGUGGUUUGUUUACUUACUUUGAAGGUUCGAGGCACUUCGAAGUUCACGUGCCGACAGCCAAUAUUAUAAGUGGAUCUGGAGUCCAAUGUGUUUUAGAUUACGAAAAAAUUGUUCUUGCACUUCGCACUUCGGAUGCCCGUUGUUAGGAUAUAUGCCAUAGAAAUCAAAUGAUUAUAACAUGGCGUUUCUUCGUCUGCCUGUCUUGCGAAGAGGAGCUUGACUGAAGCCGCAAACUCAACAUUUUCGUGUGUUUUGUUUAUCUUAGACAAGAAAUAAAGCUUUAGAACUUCAUGA